rnacentral:rRNA from 1 species
UGAGGAAUAUUGGUCAAUGGGCGAGAGCCUGAACCAGCCAAGUAGCGUGCAGGACGACGGCCCUAUGGGUUGUAAACUGCUUUUAUAAGGGAAUAAAGUGAGUCUCGUGAGACUUUUUGCAUGUACCUUAUGAAUAAGGACCGGCUAAUUCCGUGCCAGCAGCCGCGGUAAUACGGAAGGUCCGGGCGUUAUCCGGAUUUAUUGGGUUUAAAGGGAGCGUAGGCCGGAGAUUAAGCGUGUUGUGAAAUGUAGACGCUCAACGUCUGCACUGCAGCGCGAACUGGUUUCCUUGAGUACGCAC